UACGAGUGGUGCAAGCGUUGUUCGGAAUCACUGGGCGUAAAGGGUGCGUAGGCGGUUUGUUAAGUCAGAUGUGAAAGCCCUCGGCCUAACCGGGGAACUGCAUUUGAUACUGGCAAACUUGAGAGUGCGAGAGGAAAUCGGAAUUCCAGGUGUAGCGGUGGAAUGCGUAGAUAUCUGGGAGAAGGCCGGAGGCGAAGGCGGAUUUCUGGUGCACAUCUGACGCUGAGGCACGAAAGCGUGGGGAACAAACAGG
rnacentral:rRNA from 1 species